rnacentral:rRNA from 1 species
UACGUAGGGUGCAAGCGUUUAAUCGGAAUCACUGGGCGUAAAGGGCGCGUAGGCGCAUGCCAAGCGUGUGGUGAAAGCCCGGGGCUCAACCCCGGGUCGGCCGUGCGGACUGGCGUGCUUGAGCACUGUAGGGGCGGGUGGAAUUCCGGGUGUAGCGGUGGAAUGCGUAGAGAUCCGGAAGAACACCGGUGGCGAAGGCGGCCCGCUGGGGCAGGAAGACGGAGCAAUCCGUCGGCUGACGCUGAGGCGCGACAGCGGUGGGGAGCAAAACAGG